rnacentral:lncRNA from 1 species
AGCGUUGGCAUUUUGGGUUUGCCAAUUUAGCACUGCCUUAUACUGUUUUGGUGCUUCUGGUUGUCCUGAAGUUAUGAUUGGUGACUGAACAUAAGGCUGAGAGACAACUUUGGUCUGUAGAUCUGUAUGUCUUUCAAGUGGGGGAAAGGAUUCUUGGUAUGAUUGGCUAGAGGAUGAAAACAUCAAGCAUGACUUGAUUUUUGGUUGUACAGGAACAAGCUUAGAUGAGGAUUCUUUUUC